GGUCAGUGUGACAGAUGCCAGCAGGAGUCGCUGUGCAAUAGUAGUCAAUGGGCCUCACUCCCCUGACAGCCAAAAGGUGCACU